GCUUUCCCUUCCCGCCCUCCGCCCCUGAGGGGCCGCCGCGUCCCGCCGCGUCCCGCUUACAGCAAGAACCGCGCCUGGCCCGGGCAGGCGCCCGCCAACCCCUCCGCCGCCACCUCCAGGAACCGCCGCUGCCGCCCCAUGGCCCCGAACGGAAGCCGCCGCCAGACAGAAAAGAAAAAGAAGAAAAGAAGAGCCAGGAGGAUAGGUUGUUCAGUUUACUACUGGAGACCUGACUGUGACAGACCACCAAGAAAACAAAAUUUUCAAAGAGAGCAAAGAAGACCUUCUGCAGCAUCUGCGAGUCUCUCCUUUUUUCUUCAGUUACGUAGGAUAACUUAGCCAGAACUUAUUGAUGACUGCAUGUUCAGUGGACUCGGGAAUGGACUGGGAGAUGCGGGAAGGCACUCUUUGGAAGGAACAGAAGAAGAGGCAUUUCAAAGAUCCUGCAGGUGACUGAGGUGAUGAUCUGCUGCCAGAAUAAAUAAAUGUUAGAAAGUGCCGAGACUGCUCAGCCAUUUGUCGCGGUAUCACUCCCCCAUGAGGAACCUGUAUCAUCAUGUUUCUUCAAGUAUCUUCUCUCCUGUGUUCGAAUAUUGAUCCAGUGGGGUCAGUGCACGUUCUUCCAUGGUGAUGAUUGGGACUUGCACUUAACACCUUGGCACGUGGGAGAUCCCUGCUCAGUUUCCAUCUCUGUUAUGUGUUUGCUCUGGAACGUAGGUGAGUCACUC